rnacentral:rRNA from 1 species
GGAGGCAGCAGUGGGGAAUAUUGCACAAUGGGCGCAAGCCUGAUGCAGCCAUGCCGCGUGUAUGAAGAAGGCCUUCGGGUUGUAAAGUACUUUCAGCGAGGAGGAAGGGGUUAAGGUUAAUAACCUUGGCCAUUGACGUUACUCGCAGAAGAAGCACCGGCUAACUCCGUGCCAGCAGCCGCGGUAAUACGGAGGGUGCAAGCGUUAAUCGGAAUUACUGGGCGUAAAGCGCACGCAGGCGGUUUGUUAAGUCAGAUGUGAAAUCCCCGGGCUCAACCUGGGAACUGCAUUUGAAACUGGCAAGCUUGAGUCUGGUAGAGGGGGGUAGAAUUCCAGGUGUAGCGGUGAAAUGCGUAGAGAUCUGGAGGAAUGAGGUGGCGAAGGCUGCCCCCUGGACG